GGAAUAUUGGUCAAUGGGCGAGAGCCUGAACCAGCCAAGUAGCGUGCAGGACGACUGCCCUAUGGGUUGUAAACUGCUUUUAUGCGGGGAUAAACUUCAGCACGUGUGCUGUUUUGCAGGUACCGCAUGAAUAAGGACCGGCUAAUUCCGUGCCAGCAGCCGCGGUAAUACGGAAGGUCCGGGCGUUAUCCGGAUUUAUUGGGUUUAAAGGGAGCGCAGGCGGGUUGUUAAGCGUGACGUGAAAUGUAGGGGCUCAACCUUUGAAUUGCGUCGCGAACUGUCAGUCUUGAGUGAGUUCGAUGUUGGCGGAAUUCGUGGUGUAGCGGUGAAAUGCUUAGAUAUCACGAAGAACUCCGAUUGCGAAGGCAGCCAACAAGGCCUUUACUGACGCUAAAGCUCGAAGGUGCGGGUAUCGAACA
rnacentral:rRNA from 1 species